rnacentral:rRNA from 1 species
GUAGGUGGCAAGCGUUGUCCGGAAUUAUUGGGCGUAAAGCGCGCGCAGGCGGUCCUUUAAGUCUGAUGUGAAAGCCCACGGGCUCAACCGUGGAGGGUCAUUGGAAACUGGGGGACUUGAGUACAGAAGAGGAAAGCGGAAUUCCAAGUGUAGUGGUGAAAUGCGUAGAGAUUUGGAGGAACACCAGUGGCGAAGGCGGCUUUCUGGUCUGUAACUGACGCUGAGGCGCGAAAGCGUGGGGAGCAAACAGGAUUAGAUACCCUGGUAGUCCACGCCGUAAACGAUGAGUGCUAAGUGUUAGGGGGUUUCCGCCCCUUAGUGCUGCAGCUAACGCAUUAAGCACUCCGCCUGGGGAGUACGGCCGCAAAGGCUGA